ensembl:lncRNA novel transcript
AGACGGGGUUUCACCAUGUUGGCCAGGUUGGUCUCGAACUCCUGACGUCAGGUUAUCCGCCUGCCCCGGCUUCCCAAAGUGCUGGGAUUGCAGGCGUGAGCCACUGCGCCCGGCAUUGGAUUUACAUUUGUUCAACAAUGAAGAAUAGAAAAGACAUCUUAUGGAUACUAUUCCUAAUGAGGGAGAAAUUAAGUGAGCAGAAAUUUUUUGAGAACAUAAUUUUUUUUUAAAAUAAACAAUACAUUCAAUGAGUUCAUGGCUUUCACUUUGCAUAAGGCCACAAAGUGAAAAGACAACAAGAAAAGCACAAUAGAAAGACCUGCUUUGAGGCUAAGAGAAAAAAAGCAAAAAGAAAAUUCUUAUAAUCUGGGAACAGUGAUAGCAUUAUAUGUGGUUAAGGAGAAGAGCAGUGAAGCUAAGAAGGUUAAACAUUUCCAACUGUUUUCAAGUAGUGGGAAAAAACAGAGAAUCAAAAAUCUAGAGGUAUAAGAUCAUGUGAAAGAUGAAAAGAAAAAUUAAAUGAGGAAUGGUGAGGCUUCAGAAAAAAAAUAGGAAACUACUUAUUGGCCUCCAUGAGAAAUAUGAGGAUUCAGGGUUAUAGAAACACUAAAGACUAAAGUUUUUCUAAGAGCUAUUGUUAGUUCGUUUGCUUGUUCUUUUGUAUUUUUGUGACCUUCAUGCCUGUUUUUAUACAGAAAUGCUUUUAAUCUUUUAUUUUGUUUUCACAAUUGUUAUUUAACAUAUAAAGUUAUAAGUUCAAAAUUGUUAUUUGGAACCCUUGAUGUUUAUUAAAUUUUAAGUUGAUCUUGCAAAAUAAUCUCAUUGUUUGCCCUAAAAUAAUCUUGCCAAUCAUUUCUAGGAUUAUCAGAAUAAUUUUUUGUCUCACAGACUAAAAUAUCGUUAAGCCAUUUUAAAUGUUUUAAAUACAUUGAAUAGAUAAGUACUCUGUUUUAUAAAAUAGUUCAAUAAUCUGAUUUAAUAGACAAAAUAAUUCUAAGUACCAAAUAACUGUUAAAUUCAACAGAUUAAAAUGGCCAUUCAUAGAAAUUUAUGACUUAGUCUAAAAAAUUCACAAGUUUAAAUGAAUUAUUCAAUGCAUUUUACACUGGAGUUGUAAGGCUGUUAUUGUAAUAGCCCGUGUUCUUAUAUAUCUUAAUACAUAAACCACCUAAUAGUCACAGAGUCUUUGUUAAUAUGAUGAAUUAAAACCAUGCUUCUUAUUUUCUUAAGCUUUCCCUUGGAUUAUAGAGUAGAGGAAAGCCACCAUUGAAAGGACACACACUCUUGGAACCCAACAACUAUGCUAUAAGAAAGCCCAAAUUA